rnacentral:rRNA from 1 species
CCUACGGGGUGCAGCAGUGGGGAAUAUUGCACAAUGGAGGGAACUCUGAUGCAGCGACGCCGCGUGAGUGAAGCAGUAAUUCGUUAUGUAACGCUCUAUCAGCAGGGAAGAAAGUGACGGUACCUGACAAAGAAGCUCCGGCUAAAUACGUACCAGCAGCCGCGGUAAUACGUAUGGAGCAAGCGUUAUCCGGAUUUACUGGGUGUAAAGGGAGCGUAGGUGGAAGAGCAAGUCCGAAGUGAAAACCCAAAGCUCAACUAUGGGAAUGCUUUAGAAACUGCGCAGCUAGAGUGCAGGAGAGGCAAGCGGAAUUCUUGGUGUAGCGGUGAAAUGCGGAGAUAUUAGGAGGAACACCAGUGGCGAAGGCGGCAUGCUGGACCGUAACUGACGCUGAGGCUCGAAAGCGUGGGGAGCAAACAGGAGUAGAUACCCUGGUAGUC